UUCUUGCUCUUUUAAUGUAUGAACUUUACCUACCUUAAGAAAAAUGUUAUUGAGGUAUGGUUUUUUAAGUAAAGUGCCUCCAUUUUUAGAGUACAGUUGGAUGAAUCUCGACAAACGGGCAGCUGCACCACCCACCUCCCACAAAGCCCUGGCAAGCCCUCCCUGCCCACUCCACUCACUGGAGCCUUGCCAGUUCUUGGACUUCACGUGAAUGGAAUCGCACUGUCCGUCCUCCUCUGUGUCGGGCUCGUUCACUCAGCGUGAGGAUGUCCAGACCCUUCAGCUGUUCACUGCCUUGGGUCACCAGGCAGCAUCCCGCCACACAGCUCGUGAGUCAUCCCCUCCUGCUGCACGCCUGGCAGGGUUGGCCACUCUUGGAAGAGCUGCUUGCUACCAACAUGCAUGUUCAGGGCACCGGUCAGCUCUUUUGUUGAAUGCCCCUUAAUUUGGACAUGUCUGAUGUUUUCUCCGGAUGAGAAUGAGCUCAUACAUUUUGGCAAGGAGCGAUGUGUCCUCCGGCAUCGUAACGGGGACAACACGGCGUCCAUCCGUCUCAUGGCCAGUGACGUUAACCUUGAUGCCAGGAUAAGGUGGAUUUCUCCAUGGCAAGACUCCAGUCCAUGACCUUCCCUGAGUUCCAAAGGGUGGAUUCGAACAGUUGCUAAUCAAGGGCGGAGCAGCCAGGAAACCACCUGAGGCAAGAUUAAAGGGACCUGAGAAGCUCAUCAAGAUUCGGAGAGCAACCACCUGAGAUGAGAUGAGUACAAGCCUUGCACACACCCUGAUCUUGUCAGCAACCCCUCCCUUGAAGUAUUGAGUAUUGAUGAGUACCUCCUCAUCAAAUCCUGCCGGGUAGGGACACAUAGAUUUUCAAGGCAAGUGUUCCCCUGUGCCUGGCAAAGCAAUAAAGCUAUUC